GGUACCACCCUCUGUCCACUCAUCAGCAUUCCAUGUUGAAAGACCUGACACCUGUAAGCUGUAGGGUCUGGGGUACACCCAGGAGCUCCUGGGGGCUUGUGGCUCACUGAAGAACUAGGACAGUUGGUUCGUGGGUGGGAAAGAGUGUCAGCCACCUGUGCUGGCCAAUAUGCUGACAGAGAUGUGGGGACUGAGGCAACUUUGGAACUGGCGGAAACGGGUACAGACUACUGAGGGGGAGGCAGGUGAAAUGACGCAGAGGACACAGGGAAGAUGCCCAGACCCUAGAUGACAAGCUGAGCACCAUUAAGACCCCUGUGGGCAAAUGACCAAGAAGGUGGUGAAGGCGAGGCUAGACUUCCAGGCCACUCACCUCGGAAGCAGUAGACAUUGAAGCGGUUCUGCUUGCUGGGGAAGCCGGUCUGGUUGGGGAAGAGGAAGAGGGUCUUGACUCCCGGCAGACCCCCACCACAGCGUUGGCUGGGAGUGACGAUGGGGUAGCGCACGCUGCCAUCAGCCAGCCAGCCGGGGCUGCAUCGGUCCAGGCCACCAUUCCAGGCUGCAUACAGCUGGCCUGUGCUGGCAAUCUGUGCGCCCCGUUCCAGACAGUAGUCCCGAGCCUCCUCCCAUGUCAGCUUGCCGGGAGGGGCGCCUAGAAACAGUUCUCCUGAGUGAGAAGAGGAGCUGGGUCAUCAGGCAGUUGGCAGUCCUUCACCCUGGACUCUUACAGGUCCCCAAGCAAGCUCAUUCCUGACAUGGGGUCACCUUGCCCACCUGACAGUAUUAAGGUCUGCAUGAAACCCAAGAUGAAAACGAGUGUGGAGAGGAGCCCUGACCCCAACUCCUCACUCUAUCUAGGGGUUGGCACCGCCGCCACUCACCCCCAGUUGGCAGCUACCUGUCAGGUUGGCUCACGGCUUGCUUCUGAGACAGUGUUUGGAGGAGUACAUCAACUGCCCGCCUAUUCUGCCCUUAGACACAUGAAGUCUACUGGAGGUCCCAGAAGAAACCAGGGGCCUUGUUGCAGAAGGGCUUCUCACUCUCAAUCACCAUUUAGGUCUUCGGCAUAACAGUAGACAUCGUAGAGGUCCUCAGGACCCACCACUCCGUAGUUCCGGACUCCAGGGUAGCCGUCCAUGUCUCCAUAGCAGGCCUCCCGUGGGUUCUGGAUGGGGUACCUAAGAGAGAGGAAGAGCCUAAGGACUGGUGUCUUCCCCCAGGAGGCUGUUCCAUAUCAACUCUACUGCUGUGUGACAAGUGGGGAGGGGGAUGUCAGGAUGCAGGGAAGUACGCCCCAGGUAGGGCUUCAUCCACUUUCCUCGGGCCAAUUUUCUUCCCAGAGGCAGGGAGCCCCAGGGAACCUCGGUGCAGGGUGGAGGCAGCAAGCACCCGGCUAUGACCAAGGGCCCCUGGUCCACACCCGCAGCCCACCUCACAGUCUGGUCGGACAGCCAGCCGGCGUCACACUGCUCAUAGCCGCCGAGGUAGGCAGCAUAGAGCUGCUCAGGGGUGGCGAUCUGGGCACCUAUACGGGCACAGGCUUCCUGGGCUCCAGCAAAGGAGAAGGCAUAGCGGGCAGAGCCCUCUCGGUAGAGGAAGACGACCCCUGAGGAGCAGAGAGGACUCCUGAGCCUGACGAUCACCAGCACACUGACCUCCCUCCCUGUCACUCCCUGUCCACAAAAGGCAAAGUCCCAUUGUGCUCACUCUAGGGCUUGCGGGACUGUUUCCCCGCCCUCCUUUUCCAAUUCAGCUUCUGCCUUUCACGUGCAAGGUGUGCUAAGCCUUCUCACACUCUGCUCCCUGCGGGGCCAGAGUCCUUUCCUCCCUCUCUGUAGGGUCCUCACUCCACUCUGUCUUCUCACCUUUGACCUUGACCUCCACAGCGUCACUGCUGUCGUCGAUACCGUGCUGGACCUCGCAGCGAUAGACCCCGGAGUCAUUGGGCCGCAGCUCGCUCAGCACCAGAGACACAUCAGUGAGCGAUGCGGGAUCCUCAGCUAGGGCUGCAGGGGCCUGGGUCAGUACCAGGGCUGCCAGCAGGGACAGAAGCAGUGGGAUCAUGCUGCAAACUGAUGGAAGAAGUUGAGGAGGAAAGAUGAAAGGUGCGGUUAGACUUCGGGAUGGACUUCCUCUGGCUCUCUGUCGCCCCAUAUGGGCAGCGUAUACCAGAAUCACCACUAACUCUGUUUCUGAUCCCAUCUCCUCAGUACCAAGAGGUGUCCCCAGUCAACUCAUUGUGUGACCUAAGCCAAGGUCCUUACCAUC